rnacentral:tRNA from 1 species
GGAAGUUUAGUUAAAGAAUAACAUUAAUUUGUCAAGUUAAAAUUAUUAAAAAAUAUCUUCAU